UACUACAACGUGUCUUCUCAGCUCCAAAAU
rnacentral:piRNA from 1 species